rnacentral:rRNA from 1 species
CUUGGUGUCAUUUCCCGACGGGUCACACCCGUUCCCAUCCCGAACACGGAAGUUAAGCCGUACGGGGCCGAUGGUAGUGCGUUAGCGCGAGAGUAGGUGGACGCCAGGA